ACUCAAAGGAAUUGACGGGGGCCCGCACAAGCAGCGGAGCGUGUGGUUUAAUUCGACGCAACGCGAAGAACCUUACCAGGGCUUGACAUGCACAGGAAUGUCGUGGAAACACGGCAGCCUUCGGGCCUGUGCACAGAUGCUGCAUGGCUGUCGUCAGCUCGUGCCGUGAGGUGUUGGGUUAAGUCCCGCAACGAGCGCAACCCUCGUCGCUAGUUGAUUUUUUCUAGCGAGACCGCUGCGCGAAACGCAGAGGAAGGUGGGGAUGACGUCAAGUCAGCACGGCUCUUACGUCCUGGGCUACACACACGCUACAAUGGGCGGUACAAAGGGUUGCCAAGCCGCGAGGCGGAGCUAAUCCCAUCAAAACCGUCCUCAGUUCAGAUCGCAGGCUGAAACUCGCCUGCGUGAAGGCGGAGUUGCUAGUAACCGCAGGUCAGCACACUGCGGUGAAUACGUUCCCGGGCCUUGCACACACCGCCCGU
rnacentral:rRNA from 1 species